GUAGGUGGGCAAGCGUUGUCCGGAAUUAUUGGGCGUAAAGCGCGCGCAGGGCGGUCCUUUAAGUCUGAUGUGAAAGCCCACGGCUCAACCGUGGAGGGUCAUUGGAAACUGGGGGACUUGAGUACAGAAGAGGAAAGCGGAAUUCCAAGUGUAGCGGUGAAAUGCGUAGAGAUUUGGAGGAACACCAGUGGCGAAGGCGGCUUUCUGGUCUGUAACUGACGCUGAGGCGCGAAAGCGGUGGGGAGCAAACAGGAUUAGAUACCCUGGUAGUCCACGCCGUAAACGAUGAGUGCUAAGUGUUAGGGGGUUUCCGCCCCUUAGUGCUGCAGCUAACGCAUUAAGCACUCCGCCUGGGGAGUACGGCCGCAAGGCUG
rnacentral:rRNA from 1 species